rnacentral:rRNA from 1 species
AUCUACGGCCAUAUCACCGGUACAAGACGAGGUCUCGUCCGCUCCCUCAAGUCAACAUCGGUAGAGCCCAGCUAGUAGCAAGGUGGGGGACCACUUUGAAUCCUGGGUGCUGUAGGUC